rfam:Cavia porcellus supercont2_106 genomic scaffold, whole genome shotgun sequence.
GUCUACAGCUAUACCACCCUGAACGCGCCCGAUCUCGUCUGAUCUCAGAAGCUCAGCAGGGUUGGGCCUGGUUAGCACUUGAAUGGGAAGAAAGUGUAGUUUUUUUAAAAC